GUAGAAUGAACCGGCGAGUUACGAUUUGAUGCAAGGUUAAGCAGUAAAUGUGGAGCCGUAGCGAAAGCGAGUCUGAAUAGGGCGUUUAGUAUUUGGUCGUAGACCCGAAACCAGGUGAUCUACCCUUGGUCAGGUUGAAGUUCAGGUAACACUGAAUGGAGGACCGAACCGACUUACGUUGAAAAGUGAGCGGAUGAACUGAGGGUAGCGGAGAAAUUCCAAUCGAACCUGGAGAUAGCUGGUUCUCUCCGAAAUAGCUUUAGGGCUAGCCUCAAGUGAUGAUUAUUGGAGGUAGAGCACUGUUUGGACGAGGGGCCCCUCUCGGGUUACCGAAUUCAGACAAACUCCGAAUGCCA
rnacentral:rRNA from 1 species